rnacentral:rRNA from 1 species
AUGGAGACCCGUAUGAAUGGCAAAACGAGGGCCUAACUGUCUCCUUUUUCCAGUCAAUGAAAUUGAUUUCCCCGUGCAGAAGCGGGGAUACAACCAUAAGACGAGAAGACCCUGUGGAGCUUCAGACACCAGAGCAGGCCGAGUCAAUAAAACUCCAUUAAAAGAACUAAACUUAUCGACCCCCUUCUCCCCGUC